rnacentral:rRNA from 1 species
CAGUAGCCACGGUAAUACGUAGGUGGCGAGCGUUGUCCGGAAUUAUUGGGCGUAAAGGGAGCGCAGGCGGACAUAUAAGUCCAUCUUAAAAGUGCGGGGCUCAACCCCGUGAGGGGAUGGAAACUGUAUGCCUUGAGUGCAGGAGAGGAAGGCGGAAUUCCCAGUGUAGCGGUGAAAUGCGUAGAUAUUGGGAGGAACACCAGUGGCGAAGGCGGCUUUCUGGACUGUAACUGACGCUGAGGCUCGAAAGCCAGGGGAGCGAACGGGAUUAGAUACCCCUGUAGUCCCUGUCUCUUAUACA